rnacentral:rRNA from 1 species
CAGUCGCCGCGGUAAUACAGAAGAUGCAAGCGUUAUCCGGAAUGAUUGGGCGUAAAGCGUCUGUAGGUGGCUUUUCAAGUCCACCGUCAAAUCCCAGGGCUCAACCCUGGACAGGCGGUGGAAACUACCAAGCUAGAGUACGGUAGGGGCUAAGGGAAUUUUCGGUGGAGCGGUGAAAUGCGUUGAGAUCGGAAAGAACACCAACGGCGAAAGCACUCCGCUGGGCCGACACUGACACUGAGAGACGAAAGCUAGGGGAGCAAAUGGGAUUAGAUACCCCCGUAGUCCCUGUCUCUUAUAC